rnacentral:lncRNA from 12 species
UUUCAAGAUUCUGAAACAAUGCCUCAUUUUUCAACAGAGGAGUGUCCUUGAGGAUUGCUAUUCCUUCCACGCUUCAGAAGAAAUCCCAUUUUUUGGGGUGGAAAUCCAGGCUGCAGAAUUGCUUGGCAGACGGAAGAGCCUUGCCAGCUAAUCAAGGACCAUCAGAUGGAAUGUUUGUAUGAGCUGGUCACAGCACUGAGAGAGGCAGGACUUCACACUGACACUCAGUACUUCAUGCAUUUCUUUUCAAUCAGGUACUCAGGAUCAAUAGGCUUCACAUAAUCCUGUUGCUGUGCCAACAUAUCAG